rnacentral:rRNA from 1 species
AGCGAACGCUGGCGGCAGGCUUAACACAUGCAAGUCGAGCGGGCAUAGCAAUAUGUCAGCGGCAGACGGGUGAGUAACGCGUGGGAACGUACCUUCUGGUUCGGAACAACUGAGGGAAACUUCAGCUAAUACCGGAUAAGCCCUUACGGGGAAAGAUUUAUCGCCGAAAGAUCGGCCCGCGUCUGAUUAGCUAGUUGGUGAGGUAAUGGCUCACCAAGGCGACGAUCAGUAGCUGGUCUGAGAGGAUGAUCAGCCACAUUGGGACUGAGACACGGCCCAAACUCCUACGGGAGGCAGCAGUGGGGAAUAUUGGACAAUGGGCGCAAGCCUGAUCCAGCCAUGCCGCGUGAGUGAUGAAGGCCCUAGGGUUGUAAAGCUCUUUUGUGCGGGAAGAUAAUGACGGUACCGCAAGAAUAAGCCCCGGCUAACUUCGUGCCAGCCGCCGCCGUAAUAC